GGGGUAUAGCUCAGCUGGGAGAGCGCUUGACUGGCAGUCAAGAGGUCAGGGGUUCGAUCCCCCUUAUCUCC
rnacentral:tRNA from 1 species